GAUGGCGGUGUAAACAAAGUCGAACGAUGGAGAGUAAAAUAGUCUAAAACAUAGGGCUGGGCGAUAAAACAAUAACAAUAUAUAUCGCGAUAGACAUUUGAUCAAUGUCAAUAGAAAAGGUGGUCGAUAGAACGUUCGAUCAUUUCACUGAGUUCUGUUGGAAGAAAAUAGUACGGCAUUCUGGGGGGUGUAGUCAGAGUAAAGGGCUUUGGUCUCACGACCUAUCACGGCCGAGCCUGAACCGCAUUCUGGGAAAUGCUAACAUAAGCUACAUGCAUUUACGUCUGUUAGGAAUAAAUAGGUGAAUAAGGGAAUAAGCGGUAGAAAAUGGAUUGAUGAUUUCACUAUCACAAGGUGGGAUACUUACAGGAAUUGUUUAAAACGCUGGCUUUGCUGUGAUGGAGUCUCGUAAAGUAGCCGAGACAUUCAAAUUCUGUAUCGAUGUACAAUUCAAACAUAUUCCUGAUGACGCUGGGCUUUACCCGACUUGUUACCGGCGGUGCAUUGAUAAGAAGCGUUUGGAUUGUGCCCAAAAACUGGCCAAUCAUCAUAUUGAAGACAGAGACGGUGUGGCCAUGGAAGAGCGGUACCACGAGUCCUGUCAGCGUCAUGACAAAGUCUGAUGCAACACUUACUGGAACCGCAGAUGAAGAAGUGAUGGAGGAGAUUGUGCGAACAUUACUACAGACCCAGGACACACUGCAGUUUCCGAAGAUUGACCAACUGGACCUCAUGAAGGCAUACAAAGAUAACCUCCUGGAAGAAAUGUGGAAACAGCAGGACAGUCUUGCGGGGCCUAAAGCUCCAGAAGAAGAGAUGUCUACUUCUAUGGAGGCCAGUGGUGGUUUGGAGGAAAACAAAAACAGCAAUUCUCUGAUAGAACAACUCCGAGCUCUGGAGGCAGAGAACUCUGCUCUGUCCUUGGAGAAUGACAACCAAAGGAAGCAAUAUGAGCGUUGCCUGGAUGAGGUUGCCAACCAGGUCGUCCAGGCUCUCCUUACUCAAAAGGACUUGAAAGAAGAAUGUGUGAAACUGCGCACGCGUGUAUUUGACUUAGAGCAGCAGAACCACAGACUGAGGGUGUUGUUUCAACAACAAAUGAGAACGUCCCAGAAUCUUAUUCCGAAGGAAGUCGAAAGAAAUGGAAAAGCCAGUAUUGCUGCAGGACGGUGGCCCAGUCUUCUGAGCCUAAUAUGCCCACGCAAUAUUGAAAGUGGCGGUGAAAUGUUACUAUCUCGCACUUGCAGUGAAUACUCCAGUGGCUCCCAUACAUGGACAGAGGGACAACGUUUUUCUAAACAGCAGAAAGCCUUUGGAUGGAAGGAAGAACAUACUCUUAAAAGCCUUCAGAGGAGCAGCCCCAAAGAUAAAUCUUACCCUGCAUCUGUGCCACAUUGCAAUGAUUUCAUGGCCUCUAAUGAUGACAUUUAUUCACUUGAUGUCAAGACCGACCCACUGAAGACAACAUCAGACCAGACAAAGAAAAAUGUCAAAGGUGGGAUUGCUGCCAUUGACUCUGAUGGAAGUAGAAAUGAUUUUCAUACAUCACAAAACAACUUAACGUUUUUGGGGGGCCCAGCAAUGCCAAUCAGUGAAAGCCCAACAGCAAGUCUUACACAGUCUGAAGAAAACAAUGAAGGGUCACAAGAAGAAUAUAAGAACUCCGGCAUAAUAUUAAGUAAUAGUAAUAAUAAUCAAGAAAGAUCUACCGACCGUAAAUCCCGACUGGAUCACAUGAAAAGACAAAAGGGCAGACCUGCAGUUGAUGGUGAAACAAGGACAAGCGAUUCAAAUAUAGUAAUUCCACAUUCUGCAACAAGAGCUUUAAUUUGUGUGAGCGAAGCAAGGCAACACAGCUCUUCAGUGGAAAUUUUUCAGUGCAGAAACCAAUCAAACCAGGACCAUGGGAUUUUGAAAUCUCCACAAAGAAUCCAAAAACCUAAACCUCUUCUUAAUGACUCAGCAAGGAAGGCGUUAAUUAUCCGUAGCAAGAGUGCAGAUGGAGCAGCAGAAAGGCAUAAACGUGUUCAUUCUCCUCUACAUCAGAAUCUUAUAAGGGCUCACAAAUCCAAAGGACACUCCAAUGCACCUGGACACAGUGCUUCAAACAAAAUGUCAAAUUAUGCUAAACUGCAUGGGUCAAGUCCUGAAGUUGAAAAUGAUGGAAAUAUUGCACAAUCUAGUUGCAAGUCUCUGGAGCGUAUACAACAGCCUUCUCCUCUUGCUUCACCUGUUAAACAUUAUUUAGCAUCAAAGCCUCUUGUGGGUGAUGAUUGUUCUAAAAAUCUAUCGAUAGAGUUGCAAUUAGCCAGAGCUCCAUCUAGCAGUGACUGUGUUCAAAAAAGGACCUAUGAUAAUUUACCCUGUGCCCCUAAACAACCUCAAAAACUGCUUUCUGAUGUUCUUUCUUCAGAACAUCUUUCUAAAUUGCCACCGACACCCCCCGGUCGGACAACUUCACUUCUGCGUAGAACUGCUUCUCACUCUGUAUGCACUAAUCCAUCUGCAGUUCAGUCUCAGAAUGAAAAGACAAUAUACAGCAACACUGCACAGAACAAUCAAUACUUACCCACGCAAUUGGAUUUUGAAAUAUGUUAUGCUAAAAAAGAGGCCCCUGCACAUGUCUUCAAAACUCACUCAUCAAGGAUGUCAGUCAUUCCAGUUCAAGACGCACUGGAAUCAGCCACGUUAUCAGAUGAGAGAACAGUGAUAUGUCGCAGUGGAGAUAUUUCUGCUACAAUAUUACCAGGUCAGAAUAUCUUACACAGAUUUCAGGAGAGCAUUAGUGAGCCAAAACUUUCCGAAGUUAUGCCUCAGACCCUUCCAAAUACCUACUACCCCAGUGUCACUAAUAACUGUCAGAGUUCCACAUCCAGUUUUGUAGAAAUCCCUCUUAAUGUAAAAUUUCAUGAUUCAAUUGACAAAGAUGACAUAAACCCGUCUAUUAAAGGCAUCCAGACAUUUCAAACUUAUAUUCGUGAUCCGAUGACCAAUGAAUAUGGAGCUCAUAACAAAGCCCAAAGCAAGAUUGAGACUCGCUGUAAUUCUCUGAAUUCUGAGCCUUGUGGUCCUCACAUUACUUCAGACAGUGGCGUGAUGUUAGAUUGGGGCUUUGAUGAGGAAGGCUGGCUGUUCAAACGGUCAGUCUCUGUGUCAGACAGACCCCCACUUAAGCCAGUAUUGGGCAUGAAUGGGGCCAAAGUUCGAAGCAAGAGCUUUGGUGCACGCUACAUGGAUAGACUGAGCUUUAACCGAUCUGGGAAACUCCGCACCCAAAUCAAAACACACUCAGGGAGCUCCUUGAACUCUUUUGUUGAUGUACUACCAGAAAGUAUGAACUGCUCCAGUAGCUAUAAUUUCCCAAUGAACCAAUCUCUUUUGAACCACUUCCUAAUUGAAGAAGGCCUGGCAGUUCCUUCACAUGUGGGGUUGUCAAGUGAAAGACUUCAUAGUCUCAAACACCAACGUGAACAGGCAAGACGCCUUCAGAUUGAGCAACAAUUUUCAAACGCAUUUGGGGAACUGGUCUGUGAAGAACCGGAGAGACAAAGUACAAUCACCACGAUAGAAGAGAAGGUCAUGCUGGGCAUAGAAGAGAAUUUGCAAAAGUCUCAGGAACAGGAGAGAAGCAGUGAAAUGAAGCAAAGUUCUCCUUCAACCCUGGCCAGCUGGUUUGGUUUCCGUAAGGGUAAGUUUCCUGUUCCAAGCAGCAAGAAGACCGAUGCACCAAAGUUAAAAGAAGACCGAAAGGAUCAAAGGAUUACAUCACUUCUCGGAGGAAAGCAGACAAAAAUUGACAAAAAGAAGGACAGGAAAAAAAGCGAUAGAAAAGACUGUUCUGUAGGAAGGAGAAAGUCACAUGAUGCUGUACGGGCAUGCAUAUCUUUACCCUGCCCUGGAGUUCCCCUUAACGAGACACCAGGGCAAAAUGAUUUGAUCAUUGGGGACGCACAGAUGAUGAACCAGAGACCUGAUGGUGAAAAUGGAUCCCUCACAAAGACCCCCAACCAGGAUGCUGUUGUAGGGUCUGGCUGCAAAAUGCACACUUUGGACAGUGGAAUUGGGACCAUACCCCAUACGGAAACUUGUUUCUUCUUCUCCUCCAUCCUGCACUUCUUCCCCAAGUCUACACCAGAACAGUCUCUCAGUUCUUCCAGUGUCCCUGACUCCCACAGUGAGGAGGUCUCUCCAUCACCAUUAUUCCGAUGGUGAAUACCAUCCACUUUUAAGGAUAGCAGCCAUGCAAGAGUGUCCCCUUCUCUGUCUGACACCUCCAUGACCAACGUUCCCUCUAAGGAUUGUUUUUUCCGACUGCUCCGAGCGGGGGAUCAAACCCACAUCAAAAAUACAGGCAGUAUCCCGGAUGGCCAGCAGUGCACUUGAAGUUGACUGGCUUCUGUUACAAUCGCACAGAUGUGCAUGCACCCGUCGUGAAGCAAAUGUAUUUAUGAACACAAUUAUUUUUAAAAUGGUUGAUAUUUUUGCAUUGUUGCUGUUCUGUUAAGUAAAAUCUUUUUUUCUUUUUUUUCAAAGUGUGUUUUUGGGCUGGGUGGUGGGGGAGGGUGGACUGUUGCAGUUUAGGGGGCGGUCCCCAAACCUCCUCAGCCCCAGGGCCUUCCUUGGGUUAAGGCAGCCCUGUGUGUAACUGUCAGUUUGCACAUAUUUUUCAGACGUGCUAAAUAAAGAUGCUAAUUUAGGUGCCGCAACCACUUCAGCCAUGCUGCGUGUGCUAGCUAACUAUUUAGGUAUGCAUCUUCUUCCAGUAUUGUGGGCGUUCUGACCAUCAGCAUAUAUUUGGCAUAUUAAUGAAGAUGGACGCAAAAUGGAUUGCACGCCAUAUUCUGCUCAUUUACCAGGCGCAAUUCACUUUCCACAUGUUUAUAGGUUAGCUUUGCGUGUGCUAUCAAGCUUGCUUGUGUUUUACUACAUGCAAACCUUUAGUAAAUCAGGCCCUAAGUAUUUCUUCCAACUAAUGUUCCUCCUGACAAGGAAAAAGGACGAUUUCGUGAUGCUUUUUUUAUAGACUGUAUAUACAUUUUAGAACC